AACCAAGGUUUGGUUAAAUUGUAAGACAGUAAGCAUUCAGACAAGAAACAAGGAUCUUUCUGUGGUGUUUGCUACUACAAAAACAAAGAAGCAAAACAAGCCUCAAUGCAGUUAACGAGUCAGUCAUUAGGAAGGAGUUUUUUAUGGCAGUGGUUUUGACUGCAAUUAUCAAAGGCUCUGAUUUGAUCUAAAUUUACAACAGUGUGGUGAAUUAGAUUUGCCUUUAGUUUGUACAGAAAUAUUCAAUAUCUAAGAACUUGUCAUAUACUAAUCUUUGUAAUGCGUUAGUGUUAUAUUUUUAUGGCAAUCUAAGAGAAGAAUAAGUUGGACUUUUAAAUUAGGAAGUUUGUAACUCAUAAUAUGAUAGAUUCCAGUCAGAAAUAUAAAAAAAAAUUAAUAAAGAACUUGUGAGAAUAAACUACAAGAUCUUAGGUUCAAAAAUUGUCCUCGUUCAUUGCUGCUUAGGAAGAGUUUAAAUACAAUAAAAAUACAACUGCUAAUUCCUACUUUUAAGCAAUAAGGAUAAUGGAACAAGAUCAUGAAACUAAGAAAUAGGAUAAUGGCUUCAACUGCUUGCUGAAAAUGGGAUAAUGGCUUCAACUACUUGCUGAUCGAGUCUACCACAACUGCUGCCCACCCUUUUACUGCUGAGAUACUUUGGGUGUGUAACAUAACAUCCAAUAAUAGAUGUAGUAAUGAUAAACUAUUAUUGCAACUAUUAAAUAAAAACAAUAUAUUUCAGCAACUCAAGGCAUUUAAGAAAUUAGAACAUCCAAUUUAUAAAUCAUAAUUGUUUUCAUUUGAAAUCAUGUUAAGGCAUAUCUAUCGGGGGGAAGAUACAGAAGCUGCCAACUAGUUUAUAUCUCAAAGGGCGUAUGAACUGGAGAUUUUAUUUAUCAUGUUUAAGUCACAUGAUGGUGAGUUCAGAUGCAUAACAAUCAGGCAUAUCAACAAGAGCAGUAGCAAUCUAUGAAAGGUCAAUAAGAUCAAAUCAAUUACACAACAGUUGUCCAUUCAUUGUGCCUAAUCUGCAGCUUGUUAUUGAAUAACUAGGAAAUUCAACCAUGAAAGACUAGUGGUGUUACGUUAUCAUGAUGACUUAGCUUGCUUGUUGAUGAGUAGAGCUCUACUUGCACUUCCACAAAGGCAGCACUUUUGUUACUUCAGUAUGUUUGAAUGACUUGUAAAUCUGAUAAAAACUUGCUUUGAAAAUCCAUUAAUGCAAGUUACUUCCAUCUAAGUUGGGUUCCCUGCAAAACCUCCAAGCCAGCCAGACUCAGCGGUGAAUGUGCAUACCUGUAGAUAUUACCAAUUUAAGGGGUGGGCCAUAACUGAACUCUUUUUGUGUAAUUAUGAUCAGGAAGAAGUUGAUUGUGGCAUCAUUGUCAGUUAAUAUGUUGGACCAUCCACACCCAAAAAAUUCCAAUUUCUUCAUUUACUUCUAUUCUGAUUUUCUUCUCUUGCAAUGAAUAUAGAAUUGACUUCCUAUCAACUGCACUGACUGGGAGGAUCAAAUCUUGUGUAUGCUGCAACCUGCAUCCUCUAAUGUCAUGUUCUCCUUCCAGUUCUCGUAUUUGGAUCCACCAAAGGUCAAUUGCUUAAUCCCAAUAAAGCUGUUAAAAUC
rnacentral:lncRNA from 1 species